UGGGGAAUUUUGGACAAUGGGCGAAAGCCUGAUCCAGCAAUGCCGCGUGUGUGAAGAAGGCCUUCGGGUUGUAAAGCACUUUUGUCCGGAAAGAAAUCCUUGGCUCUAAUACAGUCGGGGGAUGACGGUACCGGAAGAAUAAGCACCGGCUAACUACGUGCCAGCAGCCGCGGUAAUACGUAGGGUGCAAGCGUUAAUCGGAAUUACUGGGCGUAAAGCGUGCGCAGGCGGUUUGCUAAGACCGAUGUGAAAUCCCCGGGCUCAACCUGGGAACUGCAUUGGUGACUGGCAGGCUAGAGUAUGGCAGAGGGGGGUAGAAUUCCACGUGUAGCAGUGAAAUGCGUAGAGAUGUGGAGGAAUACCGAUGGCGAAAGGCAGCCCCCUGGGCCAAUACUGACGCUCAUGCACGAAAGCGUGGGGAGCAAAACAGGAUUAGAUAACCCUGGUAGUCCACGCCCUAAAACGAUGUCAACUAGUUGUUGGGGAUUCAUUUCCUUAGUAACGUAGCUAACGCGUGAAGUUGACCGCCUGGGGAGUACGGUCGCAAGAUUAAAAACUCAAAGGAAUUGAC
rnacentral:rRNA from 1 species